AUGAGGCCUCAAAGUGAUUUGAAGAAAAUUUGCCAAAGCCCACCACGACAGUCGAGGCCCAGCCCAGCGCACCAGCCAAGACCGACCGGUUUUCCCCUCCCCUGCUCCUCUCCAUUCCUAUCCUUCUCCCCCUGCCCUGCCCGCCGUCGUCGUCGCCGUGAGCCGUCGCCGCCGCAUCUCCCCCGCUCCGAUUCGUCUGCCCACCAGUCAGCAACCUCCUCCUCGUCGUCGUCGAUGGCAGGGUUCGGCAGCCUGGCGCCCAAGACGAAGAACGUGGUGGUGGCGGGCGGGCUGACGGGGUUCGUCUUCGGGGUGUACUACUACACCACGUGGGCGGUGGGCAGCACCGACGAGCUGCAGGUCACCAUCAACAAGUUUGAGGACCUUAAGAAGAAGGAGGAGGCUGCCGCCUCCGCAGCCGCAAGCACCUCCACCCCGGGAUCCUCAUAA
rnacentral:rRNA from 1 species